rnacentral:tRNA from 1 species
GAAGCAGUGGUCUAGUGGAUAGAGCAAGGGCCUGGAAAUCCCAAAGACCUGGGUUCUAAUUCCAGCUCUGUCA